GCAUAUCAAUAAGCGGAGGAAAAGAAACCAACAGGGAUUGCCCCAGUAACGGCGAGUGAAGCGGCAAAAGCUCAAAUUUGAAAUCCUGCGGGAAUUGUAAUUUGAAGGUUUCGUGGUCUGAGUCGGCCGCGCCCAAGUCCAUUGGAACAUGGCGCCUGGGAGGGUGAGAGCCCCGUAUGGCGCACGCCGACUCUUUGCACCGCGGCUCCGACGAGUCGAGUUGUUUGGGAAUGCAGCUCUAAGUGGGUGGUAAAUUCCAUCUAAAGCUAAAUAUUGGCGAGAGACCGAUAGCGAACAAGUACAGUGAUGGAAAGAUGAAAAGCACUUUGAAAAGAGAGUGAAACAGCACGUGAAAUUGUUGAAAGGGAAGGGCUUGCAAGCAGACACGGUUUUACCGGGCCAGCGUCAAAUAAACGGGGGGGAAAAGGGGGAAAGAACGUGGCGCGUGCCUUCGGGUUCGCGUGUUAUAGCUUUCUCUAAUACCCCCAUGUUUGUUUGAGGCCUGCGAUUCUAGGACGCUGGCGUAAUGGUUGCAAGCCGCCCGUCUUGAAACACGGACC
rnacentral:rRNA from 1 species